CUCCAAAUGCCUUUUUGUGGGCAAUGAACGGAGCUUGCGAGGUCGUUUUAGAUCUACCACUCCUUACUUGUAGAGAAUAUAAAAAUGGAGACUAAAUAUUGAGCCACUGAUUGUAAAGCUUGAGAAUAAAGAAAAAGCAAAGUAUGAUAUGUACUGAAUUUUGGGGAUUUCGGCUUCCAAGCCCCUUUCAGCUGAGAUUUAGAGAGGUAUAAUGGUAAGCAACCCCUCGAGAGGUUGUGAUUCGAGUCUUCCUAAGAGCAAGGUGGGAAGUUCUUGGAG
rnacentral:lncRNA from 1 species